AGCUCCAAUAGCGUAUAUUAAAGUUGUUGCAGUUAAAAAGCUCGUAGUUGGAUCUCAGGCGCAGGCGGGCGGUCCGGCUCGCGCCGGUUCACUGCCCGUAUCUCCUGCCCUACCGUUUGCCGGCUCUCUCCCGCGGGGGCUCUUCGCUGAGCGUCCCGGGGGGCCGGUGCGUUUACUUUGAAAAAAUUAGAGUGUUCAAAGCAGGCCUCGGCAGCCUGAAUAAUGGUGCAUGGAAUAAUGGAAUAGGACCUCGGUUCUAUUUUGUUGGUUUUCGGAACGGAGGUAAUGAUUAACAGGGACAAACGGGGGCAUUCGUAUUGCGGCGUUAGAGGUGAAAUUCUUGGAUCGCCGCAAGACGAGCUACUGCGAAAGCAUUUGUCAAGAAUGUUUUCA
rnacentral:rRNA from 1 species